GGUAUAAACCAAAGUAAUAUUACAGGGAAGCAUACACACACACAAAAAAAAUGACUGUUUUCCAGAAAAUCACCAAAGAGAUUGCAUCAGUCUGCUGACACAUGUAGGAGAGGGUGUAUAAGUGGAGACUGUGACUCAGAGGCAACCCCAUUUCAUCUACUGUGACAACAGUAAUAACAUACACAAGUGUCUGAAAGGGAGAAACGUCUCUAUGUCAUGCUGCAGGUUGCAGCACUCUUCCUUCCACUAAAACACUGUGAUGGCUCAGGGAGCUCAGGUACACCAGGAAAAGAACGAAGCUAAGAGAAGCGUAUGCUCUGGUUCUCCCCUGCAGCUAACUGACACCCUGAGAAGCAAGGUGCUGGCUGCAGGAGAUAGGUGAAAAAAGGUGAGAUGAAAAGGAGGGUGAGCCAUCAUCUCUUACCCAUCCUUGGCUGUUCCUGGAUUUUCAGCACAGCUGUAUGGAAGUGAAAAGCAUAGCUUUCUCCAAGCAUCUGUCUUAGUUGUUGGGCGUGGAAUGUAAGUAGUGUCAAGUCCACUGUUGAGGCACUUACAUCUUCUCCCUCAGUGAAACACAAUCUGGGUAGCAUGGACGGAGUGUUAUCUCAGCCCCCUUAAGGAGAUAUAGUCCUCACAGACAUGACCUACAAAUAUCUGUUGAAUAAGAUAACAAGAACUCAUUUAUAGCCUUAACUUCCCUCUUUUCCUGACUAACCCUAACAUGUCUUCCUCCUUGGGAGAAUGGAAGCUAUAGCUGAGAAUCAAAAAUCUCUAAGAGCUAGGAAGUGGUAGUGCAUGCCUUUAAUUCCAGCACUUGGGAGGUAGAGGCAAUCAGAUCUCUGUGAGUUCAAGGCCAGCCUGGUCUACAAAGUGAGUUCCAUGACAACCAGGACUGUUACACACAGAAAACCUAUCUCUAAGAACUGUAGGUUACCAAAUAAAAUUUUAAAAUGUUGGACAACUUUCAAGUUAACCGGGGCCCCCAGAAGUCUAGGUCCUUGAAAGGACUAUUGGCUAUUGGCUAUAAAAUUAUAACCCAGGUAAGUUCAGCUCAAUGAAUGAUGUCAUCAUGUGCUAGAGACUUCCUCAGUGUUUAUAGUAUUUCAGAAAUGUAACCUUGGACAAACGUUUUAAGAUGACAGUGUACCGAGUGAAUAAGUCAUUUGCAGAAGGUUAAAUCUGCUAUGACUGUUUACAAGUGGUCCCCAGGGAAAUCAAUUCACAGAUAUGGAAAGGGCAGGCAUGACUGCCAGGAGCUUGAGAAAGAGGUGAAUGAACAGUUGCUUACUUCAGAGUUUCAAUGUGCAAAACAGAGUCCAGAGAUGAAUUUCGUAACAGUGAGGAUGCGUUGGAUACCACCGGACCAUUUUAAAUGGUUAACAGCAUGAUGAAGAUCUAGCUCAGUGGCACAACAUUUGGCUAGUGUGCAGAAAGCCUUGGGUUCAAACCUCAGCACUCAGCAGCUGAAAGAUAACAGUGGACUUUAUUGUGGACCCAGUUGAUCAUUUCUUGUAGAUGUAGAAGAAAAGCAGAGGGUGGGGGCUGGAGGGAAGAUGGAAGAAAAGGAGGAAGGGAAAGGAUUCUGACCACAGCACCUAGCUUACAGAAAUCAACUCCUCUGAGUUUCCCAAGAGUACACUUAACACACCCAGCUCCCAAACAAGGACAGAAUCAGCCAGGCUGCAGAUAUGACUUCUGAAUGCAGCUCUUUGGCCUGCUUGGCCAUCAUGACCGACCAAAUCUGACUUUCUACUCUAAUUUCUGAGAAUUCUCUAUUAGUCAUUUCAGUCCAAUUGCUCUUACACAUUCCUGUCUCCUGUCUUCAGACACAGAACCUCAGUACUGAAGAGAUCAGAGCUCAUUUUAUGCAACUGUCUACCAAGUGCCUCAAUCUACUUUUCACAGCUGUUUGGGAAGCCAGCUAUCUUGUGAGGAUACUCAAGCAUCUAAGGGAAAGCCCCACUGGCAAAGAACAGAGACUCCUAAGCCAUGGCCUAUGAGGAACUCAUGCCAGUCAUUCACUGUGUGCGUAAGCUUGGAAGGCCAACAUCUGCUCUGAGAUGACUCCAGACUCAGCCUAUGAUGUCAGAGACUGAGCCAGAACCACCCAUCUGUACCAAUGCUGCAUCUCUAGCCUUCAAGACUGUAUGAAAUAAUAAAUGUAUGUUGCUGAAAGCUA